rnacentral:lncRNA from 1 species
GAAUCUCUUCGGGUGCUAAUCGAAUGGCAGCUGUGCGGGAUCUCCACAAAGCCACGAAGAAGCCAGGCCUUUCCGAGACUGUAACCUCUGUGCAGAUAGCCCCGAUCCUUGGGUGACCGCUCUCUCGUUCUGCGCGUGCGCUCGCUCUGGGCCGGGAGCGGGUGGGUGCUGCGGCGUGUGACGUCUCUAGUAGUGUCGGAACUGGGUGUGCUGCCUUCCCCAGGUGUACUGAGGUCUUCGUGAGAUUCAGGGCUAGGAUUCGUGUGGCUGUAUCAUGUUUCGAAUGAAGCUUAAAAGGUGAUCUUUGAGAACUGAAGAUUUGAGACCCCUCCAUGGGCCCAGGCACUGCGAACACUAAUAAUUUCAGAGACUUAGAAUCUGAGGAGAAUCUCCAAUCUAAGGGGAAACGGAAGAGGGUCAGGAAAGAGAAGGGGCAAGCUUCAGUGACUCAGAAUCCAUGAAGCAAGUCUCAUAGGAGAGCUGCGAUCGAGGUUACCAUACUGUAUCGAAUCGUCCCAACUUUCCCAUCCAUACUUCCAUACCUCCUUUCCUCUGAAUGCAAGGAAAGCCGGUUACACAAACGCUGACAAAAGAAUGUCAGACUUGAAUGGAAAUUCAGAGCAGUCCCCAUCUGGUCCAUAUAGCGAACUCCCAAUGAGCACGACGGCAAUGUAACUAAUUCAUGUUUCCCUCUUGGCAGUGAGGGAAAGGCAGCAAAGAGCCAAGUUUUGUAUCUUAACAGUUCUUUAGUUAAGAGGCACACGCUAUUUUGCAUUCUUCCCUACUUUUUGAUAAUUUUUGGCUGCACUAGUAAUGCAUGAGUAUCUGCUCAUUUAAAAAAAACUUUUUUUCAGUGAAAAGUAUGCCCUUUUCUUCAGAAGAAGGUCUUAAUUUAAAAAAAAAAAAAAUCGUUGCCCAGAUCAACAUUUUCAAGCAUUUUCUCAAAUCAUUUUCUGGGAAUAGCUGCAUGGUUGUGGGUCUUACUUUGAAGUUAGGUGCUCAUAUGUGGGAGCUAAAAUGGUUGAUUCCAUGGAGAUAGAGAGUAAAAUUGUGGUUACCAGAGGCUGGGAAGGAUACAGAGGGAGAGGGAGAUGAGAAGUUAAAAGGAGCGAAAAUACGGUUAGACAGAAGGAAUAAGCUGUGGUGUUCACAGCACAGUAGGGUGACUAUAGUAGUCAAUAAUUUAUUUUAUAUUUCAAAAUAGAGGAGAAAGGUUGGAAUAGUCUCAACACAUGAUAAAUGUUGGCCGGGCACAGUGGCUCAUGCCUGUAAUCCCAGCACUUUGGGAGGCCAAGGCAGGCAGAUCACUAGAGGUCAGGAGUUCAAGACCAGCCUGGCCAACAUGGUGAAACCCCAUCUCUACUAAAAAUACAAAAAUUAGCUAGGUGUGGUGGCAUGUUCUGUAACCCUAGCUACUCGGGAGGCUGAGGCAUGAGAAUCGCUUGAACCUGGGAGGUAGAGGUUGCAGUGAGCCAAGAUCAUGCCGCUGCACUCCAUCCUGGGUGAGAGAGCAAGACUUUGUUUCAAAAAAAAGAAAAGAACUUUUGCCUUCUAUUGCUCCCUGGAGCCUCUCUUCUAAUAUGUGGAGGAUAAUAUACUUGUCCUUCAUUCAGCCAUCUCUGUAGCAGCUAAAGAUGCCUGGGAGGUGGAGGUAGGAGUGAGCCAAGAUCAUGCCACUGCACUCCAUCCUGGGUGAGAGAGCAAGACUCUGUUUCAAAAAAAAAAAAAA